UUCCCGUACGAUCACCGCAGUUAAGCAACGUCGAACCUGGUCAGUACCUAGAUGGGUGACCGCUUGGGAAUAUCAGGCUCUGUAA